ACAUACAUAUUCACAGAAAGUACAUAAACCAGGAUGAAGAGAAACUCGAAAACUCAAGCAAGAGUCUGCUUCCCUUUAAUUGUUUUUGCCUCUGACUUGUAUUGCCUUUUAUUGCCUCUACUUAUGGCAGUAGAAGCUGCGAGCAUGGUAAGGAAAAAAGAGACAGCUAAAACUGACUUGGCACUGAAUCCUGUCACACAGCAUUGCAGUCACAGAGAGAGAGAGAGAGAGAGAGAGAGAGAGAGAGGCAGAGACACAGGCAGAGGGAGAAGCAGGCUCCAUGCACCGGGAGCCCGACGUGGGAUUCGAUGCCGGGUCUCCAGGAUCGCGCCCUGGGCCAAAGGCAGGCGCCAAACUGCUGCACCACCCAGGGAUCCCUUUGCAGUUUCUUCUAAGAAACAAAAAGAUAUAACAACAUGACUCAGUAAUUCAGAGGAUAUGACUAAACAACAUCAUAUUCCAGGCUUUCUCUUCCCUUUGGUGGCUCACUUCUGGAUCUGCAAUACUUACUCGUAAGAAAAAGGAAAUGAUGAUUAAGGACAUUAAAUGAAAAAGGUGUCUUCCAACUACCCUACCUGGAGAUCAAAAUAAUCUACCAUGCCUGGAAAACAGCAAGAGAGCCUCAUGGUCAUGAUGGAUACAACAAAGUCCUGUCUUGAGAAACAAUCACAAAUUUGUUUUCUUAUCAUCUAUUUCUGAACAACUGCAAACUGAAUUUCAAAAACUUGACUGCAUGUCAGUUAUUCUUUCUAUUGAAAACUACUUGUUUUGCACCAUUUUGAUACAUGGACCAAAAUAAAGAUAGAGAGGUUAUCUUCUCUAUGGUAACUACACAACAAAGAACGUUUUCUUCGUACAAGAAGAGUUUCACAUAGCUACAUUUUUCACCAUUUAAGACCCAAGUUCUUUCAUUUUUCCAAGUAAUCCAAAUAAUAACUAACGCUUAUUAUGCUCCAGAUAUUACUUCUCGUGCCUUCCACAAGCUAUCUCAUUUAAUUCUUGCAAUUAUUCUAUGGGUUAAGACUAAUAUUAAUUCUAUUAUAUAGAUGAGGAAACUGAGCCUCAUGGAAGUUAUAUAAUUUGCUCAUGGGGAGAUGCUCAACAUGUGCUAGAGCUGGGAUUUGAACCCAGACAGUCUGGAGCAUCAUGAGAGUUUACAUUUUAAUAAUCACAAUAAUUUAUAACAUGUCCAAGGUCAAACUCAGUAUUUCACUCCUCUUUUAAACUUUUCCUCAUUCUUGGGGGUGGGGGGUAGAAAGAAACUUUUCCUCAUUCUUUAUCUUGUAUUUGAGUAUCUCACAACCAUCCCCUCCAAUUGCAUAUAAGCAAUCAUCGAAUCUUACAGACUUUUUAACUCUUUAUCUCUUUCAUGAGGUCUAUAUUCAUAUACACAUCUGCCUACUAAAAUUUUCCAUUUGGAGAUCCCACAUGUACCUUAAAUUCACCAUAAUUUCUCAUCAGUCUCUUAAUCAUGUAUUUCCUAUUAUGGUGAAUAACACCAUUAUCCUCUCAUUUAAGGGAAAAAAAAGUAAUUUCUGCUCCUUUGGCCAUCUACCCAUCAAACACAUGUGUCAUAUGUGCACAUGUGUGCAGACACAUACUACCCAACCAAUCAAAUCACUGUUACCUGUUAAUUAUCACCUAAACUAUCACAAGUGUCUCUUUACUGAUUUUCCUGUCUGCCUCUAAUUUCAUCCCAUGGUCCACAUCACUUCAACCUAACAUCUGUACUGCUAAUGUGUAACUUCAUUUAUGGCAUGAACAUCUGCUUAUCUUUCUCCUGCUUGCAUUUUCAAAAUGGAGUAUAUAAAAUAAAUUCUGAACACUUCUGCAAAAAAUACAAGA